UGAGUGCGAGCUGCUACGGCAGCGAAGUUGGUGACGUCAUGCUUCCAAGAAAAGCCCUAUACCCGUUAAGGCAUCAUGGCCUGUACCCGAAACCGACACAGGUGGGGUGGUAGAGAAUACCGAGGGGCGCGAGGUAACUCUCUCUAAGGAACUCGGCAAAAUGGCCCCGUAACUUCGGGAGAAGGGGUGCCACCGCAAGGUGGUCGCAGUGAAGAGGCCCAGGCGACUGUUUACCAAAAACACAGGUCUCCGCUAAGUCGCAAGACGAUGUAUGGGGGCUGACGCCUGCCCAGUGCCGGAAGGUUAAGAAAGCUGGUCAGCGCAAGCGAAGCUAGCGACUGAAGCCCCGGUGAACGGCGGCCGUAACAAUAACGGUCCUAAGGUAGCGAAAUUCCUUGUCGGGUAAGUUCCGACCCGCACGAAAGGCGUAACGAUCUGGGCGCUGUCUCGGAGAGAGGCUCGGCGAAAUAGAAUUGUCUGUGAAGAUGCGGACUACGUGCACCCGGACAGAAAGACCCUAUGAAGCUUUACUGUAGCUUGGUAUUGUGCCCGGGCUCGCAUGCGCAGUAUAGGUGGUAGGCUUUGAUCAUCGGCUUGCGGGUCGAUGUGAGCCAACGGUGAGAUACCACUCUUUGCGAGCUAGGGUUCUAACGGCCACCCGUCAUCCGGGGGCCGGACAGUACCUGGUGGGCAGUUUGACUGGGGCGGUCGCCUCCUAAAAGGUAACGGAGGCGCGCAAAGGUUUGCUCAGGCUGGUUGGAAAUCAGCCGACGAGUGUAAAAGCAGAAGCAAGCUUGACUGUGAGACCAACAAGUCGAACAGGGAGGAAACUCGGCUUUAGUGAUCCGACGGUUCUGAGUGGAAGGGCCGUCGCUCAACGGAUAAAAGUUACUCUAGGAUAACAGGCUGAUCUCCCCCAAGAGUUCACAUCGACGGGGAGGUUUGGCACCUCGAUGUCGGCUCAUCGCAACCUGGGGCUGAAGUCGGUCCCAAGGGUUGGGCUGUUCGCCCAUUAAAGCGGUACGCGAGCUGGGUUCAGAACGUCGUGAGACAGUUCGGUCCAUAUCCGGUGCACGCGCAGGAAUAUUGAGAGGAUUUCUCCCUAGUACGAGAGGACCGGGAGGAACGCACCUCUGGUGUACCAGUUAUCGUGCCAACGGUAAACGCUGGGUAGCCAUGUGCGGAGUGGAUAACCGCUGAAAGCAUCUAAGUGGGAAGCCCACCUCAAGAUGAGUAUUCCCAUGGCGUAAGCCAGUAAGGUCACGGGAAGAACACCCGUUGAUAGGCUCUAUGUGGAAGCGCAGUAAUGCGUGAAGCAGAGGAGUACUAAUAGACCGAGGGCUUGAC
rnacentral:rRNA from 1 species